UACGAAGGGGGCUAGCGUUGUUCGGAAUUACUGGGCGUAAAGCGCGCGUAGGCGGAUCGCUAAGUCAGGGGUGAAAUCCCAGGGCUCAACCCUGGAACUGCCUUUGAUACUGAAGAUCUUGAGUUCGGGAGAGGUGAGUGGAACUGCGAGUGUAGAGGUGAAAUUCGUAGAUAUUCGCAAGAACACCAGUGGCGAAGGCGGCUCACUGGCCCGAUACUGACGCUGAGGCACGAAAGCGUGGGGAGCAAACAGG
rnacentral:rRNA from 1 species